CCCACUAACGCAAAGUUUGUGCACUUCUCCAAGUCCUUUGCCAUCAAUUCCCCUCUAGUCUUUAGAGAGAGCAAGAAUGAUCCUGUGGGUCAAUGUGUUAUCCUUACUAGCAGUCCUCAGAGGUGUCCAAUCUCAGGCCCAAUUGGUGGAGUCCGGGGGAGAUGUGAAAAGACCUGGAGAGACCCUCCAUCUCUCCUGCCAAGCCUCUGGAUUCACCUUCAGCAGCUAUGACAUGAACUGGGUGAGACAAGUUCCUGGAAAAGGACUGGAAUGGGUUGCAGGCAUCUAUUAUGAUUCCAGUGGAAAGUUCUACUCAGACAAAGUGAAGGGCCGUUUCACCAUCUCCAGGGACAAUGCCAAAAGCCAGCUGUAUCUGCAAAUGAACAGCCUCAAACCAGAGGACAUGGGCAUCUAUUACUGUGCAGGAGACACAGUGAGAGGAAGAGCCCAAUCUCAAGUACAGUUGGUUGAGUCAGAGGGGGGUGUGAGAAGACCUGGAGAGUCCCUCCAUCUCUCCUGCCAAGCCUCUGGCUUCACCUUCAGCAGCUAUUACAUGAACUGGGUGAGACAGGCUCCAGGGAAAGGACUGGAAUGGGUUUCUACAACUGGCGGUUACUACUUAGACAAAGUGAAGGGCCGUUUCACCACCUCCAGGGACGAUGCCAAAAGCCAGCUGUAUCUGCAAAUGAACUGCCUCAAAGUUGAAGACACAGCAGUCUAUUACUGUGCUAGAUACACAGUGAGAGGAAGUGAAUCUGAAGCCUAA